rnacentral:rRNA from 1 species
UAUUGCACAAUGGGGGAAACCCUGAUGCAGCGACGCCGCGUGAAGGAAGAAGUAUCUCGGUAUGUAAACUUCUAUCAGCAGGGAAGAAAAUGACGGUACCUGACUAAGAAGCCCCGGCUCACUACGUGCCAGCAGCCGCGGUAAUACGUAGGGGGCAAGCGUUAUCCGGAUUUACUGGGUGUAAAGGGAGCGUCGACGGAAGAGCAAGUCUGAUGUAAAAGGCUGGGGCUUAACCCCAGGACUGCAUUGGAAACUGUUGUUCUAGGGUGGCGGAGAGGUAAGCGGAAUUCCUAGUGUAGCGGUGAAAUGCGUAGAUAUUAGGAGGAACACCAGUGGCGAAGGCGGCUUACUGGACGGUAACUAACGUUGAGGCUCGAAAGCGUGGGGAGCAAACA